CCUGGAUUGGGGGAUAGCUGGGCGGUGACUGUCUGUCUUUUCCCUAGUUUGUCAUUCUUAUGGAUGAUUUGAAACUCUCUUGGAUACAACUCAUUCUGGAGUGUGCUUCUCUGUCUCUUCGUGGGGGUGGUGGUCUCAGAGCCUCUUCGGAGGGUACCGAGCUCACCGGUGUGCCUCGGAAGUGGAGCGAUCUCCUGGUGUUGGUGGUGCCUCCAGAAGUAAAUCUGGUCCGCGGAAGGCUCAUUUUUCUGGAGCGGCUAGAUGAAAGCAGAGGAAGGCUAGAAGGUAGGUUGCUGGUACCGGUGGUAUUUUGCUACCAGGUGGCUCCUCUCAAUUAGUUUUUCUGUCUGGAUCCCCUGCUGUUACUUUUGGUGACAGCAGGGGUUCCAGAUCUGUGGUGUCUAUUCCAUCAUUUGAGGAGACGGGGCCUUCGAGGGACCUUUGCACUUUCAGCCUGGGACUUGUUCGGAGGCUGCGGCUUCUCUUCAGUUUGCCUCAUCAAGGAGGGUUAUCUGGACUCCAAGCUGAUGGCUGC
rnacentral:lncRNA from 1 species